UACGAAGGGGGGCUAGCGUUGCUCGGAAUCACUGGGCGUAAAGCGCACGUAGGCGGGUCGUUAAGUCAGGGGUGAAAUCCCGGAGCUCAACUCCGGAAUUGCCUUUAAGACUGCAUCGCUAGAAUUGUGGAGAGGUAAGUGGAAUUCCGAGUGUAGAGGUGAAAUUCGUAGAUAUUCGGAAGAACACCAGUGGCGAAGGCGACUUACUGGACACAUAUUGACGCUGAGGUGCGAAAAGCGUGGGGAGCAAACAGG
rnacentral:rRNA from 1 species